rnacentral:ncRNA from 1 species
UGAAAUGCAAUGAUGGGAAGAGUAGUAAGUGGAAAUGCUAAAAGAGAGUCGGAUAAGGUGAAAGCCGAUAGCAUUUAGAUUUAUGAACAUGGCCCCAGAGCAAAAUAUCUGAAAUAUUAAGUAGGAUAUUUCGGGUGCAGCCGUUAAAAUGCAAAGUGAGUUUUCUCACUUAUUGAGUCCUUUUUUGAGAAGAAAAGGAAAAUUAGAGUGGUAACGCGUAAAAAUGACGCCUCUAUA